rnacentral:rRNA from 1 species
AUUGAACGCUGGCGGCAGGCUUAACACAUGCAAGUCGAGCGGUAACAGAGAGAAGCUUGCUUCUCUGCUGACGAGCGGCGGACGGGUGAGUAAUGCCUAGGAAUCUGCCUAGUAGUGGGGGAUAACUUGCCGAAAGGUAAGCUAAUACCGCAUACGUCCUACGGGAGAAAGGAGGGGACCUUCGGGCCUUUCGCUAUUAGAUGAGCCUAGGUAGGAUUAGUUAGUUGGUGAGGUAAUUGCUCACCAAGACCGCGAUCCGUAACUGGUCUGAGAGGAUGAGCAGUCACACUGGAACUGAGACACGGUACAGACUCCUACGGGAGGCAGCAGUGGGGAAUAUUGGACAAUGGGGGGAACCCUGAUCCAGCCAUGCCGCGUGUGUGAAGAAGGUCUUAGGAUUGUAAAGCACUUUAAGUUGGGAGGAAGAGCAGUUAACUAAUAUUUGACUGUUUUGACGUUACCGACAGAAUAAGCACCGGCUAACUUCGUGCCAGCAGCCGCCGUAA